rnacentral:rRNA from 1 species
AUUGAACGCUGGCGGCAGGCUUAACACAUGCAAGUCGAACGAGUGGCGGAGGGGUGAGUAAUGUUUGGGAAUCUAGCUUCUGGAGGGGGAUAACUACGGGAAACUGUAGCUAAUACCGCGUACCAUAGGAUGAGCCCAAGUGGGAUUAGGUAGUUGGUGAGGUAAAGGGUCACCAAGACGACGAUCUCUAGCUGGUCUGUGAGGAUGACCAGCCACACUGUGACUGAGACACGGCCCAGACUCCUACGGUAGGCAGGAGUGGGGAUAAUCCCGCAACUGGGGGAACCUGACGCAGCCAAGCCGUGGGAAUGAAGAAGGCCUUCGGGUUGUAAAGUUCUUUCAUUAGCGAGGCGUUAACUGCAGAAGAAGCACCGGAUAACUCCGUGCCAGCCGCCGCGGUAAUAC